UACAGAGGGGGCAAGCGUUAUUCGGAAUUAUUGGGCGUAAAGGGCGCGUAGGCGGCUUGGCAAGUGGAUGGUGAAAUCCCUCGGCUUAACCGAGGAACUGCCGUCCAAACUGCUUAGCUUGAGACCGGGAGAGGUGAGUGGAAUUCCCAGUGUAGUGGUGAAAUGCGUAGAUAUUGGGAGGAACACCAGUGGCGAAGGCGGCUCACUGGACCGGUACUGACGCUGAUGCGCGAAAGCGUGGGGAGCAAACGGG
rnacentral:rRNA from 1 species